AGAGCGAACGCUGGCGGCAGGCCUAAUACAUGCAAGUCGAACGGCUCUUCGGAGCAGUGGCGGACGGGUGAGUAACGCGUGGGAAUGUGCCCUUUGGUACGGAACAACUGAGGGAAACUUCAGCUAAUACCGUAUGUGCCCUUCGGGGGAAAGAUUUAUUGCCAUUGGAGCAGCCCGCGUUGGAUUAGCUAGUUGGUGGGGUAAAGGCCCACAAGGCGACGAUCCAUAGCUGGUCUGAGAGGAUGAUCAGCCACACUGGGACUGAGACACGGCCCAGACUCCUACGGGAGGCAGCAGUAGGGAAUCGUUGCGCAAUGGGCGAAAGCCUGACGCAGCCAUGCCGCGUGAAUGAUGAAGGUCUUAGGAUUGUAAAAUUCUUUACACCGGGAAGAUAAUGACGGUACCCGGAGAAGAAGCCCGGCUAACUUCGUGCCAGCAGCCGC
rnacentral:rRNA from 1 species